CCUCCUUAUACGAUUUAGAACUUAUUUGUUCGUAGUGUCCACACAGAUGAUUGUUAGUUAGUUUUACCCUUUGGGUUUAACUGAUUAAUAUGCUCUUUAAAAAUUUGGAAAAGCUGAUAAUAAAAUUCUGAUAGAUACUUGGUAUUUAUCAAGAGUUUUCAAAAGUAAAAAAGAAUGAUAGCAGUAUCAUUCAGUGCCAAUUUAAUCAUUCAUGAUUAAUUGGUAUCUACUUUAGUAUUCAAUAUUAACUUCUGGCGAAGUUAAACUGUCACUAACAAAGACCCGUUUGGGUUGUAUGGUUAAGUGACUAAAGCGUACACCGGUGGAAUGCCUA
rnacentral:misc_RNA from 1 species